rnacentral:lncRNA from 1 species
UUCAGUUUUUUUACCAGUAUGUACAGCACUGUGUUUGUGAUGUACAGAUGUACAGGAAAGGUAACCCGCAAAACCACUAUUCUCUAUUUGUCAUGGUUACAGGGAAUAACUGGAGCACAUGGUGUCAGAGGCAAAACUGGGAAGCUAGGGCCCCCUGGUCUAUUGGGACAAGUUGGGCCUCAGGGAGACCAUGGAGUUAAAGGAGAACCAGGACCACAGGGACUGAAGGGCAAGCCAGGUCCUCCAGGCCCACAAGGGGAAUGCGUUAGUAUGAUUUCUAUGAUAUGUGUACCUACAGUUGUGCCACCUCUACAUCAUUAUACCUAA